GCCCGAUUAGCUCAGCUGGUUAGAGCGUCGUACUAAUAUUGUCUUGAAUCGGCUAUAUUUGGUCUAUGCGAAGGUCAACAGUUCAAUCCUGUUAUUGGGCA